rnacentral:rRNA from 1 species
AUUGAACGCUGGCGGCAGGCCUAACACAUGCCAGUCGAGCGGAUGAAGGGAGCUUGCUCCUGGAUUCAGCGGCGGACGGGUGAGUAAUGCCUAGGAAUCUGCCUGGGAGUGGGGGAUAACGUCCGGAAACGGGCGCUAAUACCGCAUACGUCCUGAGGGAGAAAGUGGGGGAUCUUCGGACCUCACGCUAUCAGAUGAGCCUAGGUCGGAUUAGCUAGUUGGUGGGGUAAAGGCCUACCAAGGCGACGAUCCGUAACUGGUCUGAGAGGAUGAUCAGUCACACUGGAACUGAGACACGGUCCAGACUCCUACGGGAGGCAGCAGUGGGGAAUAUUGGACAAUGGGCGCAAGCCUGAUCCAGCCAUGCCGCGUGUGUGAAGAAGGUCUUCGGAUUGUAAAGCACUUUAAGUUGGGAGGAAGGGCAGUACGUUAAUACCUUGCUGUUUUGACGUUACCAACAGAAUAAGCACCGGCUAACUUCGUG